UUGGCAUGAUGAGGAAAGUUAUUGAUUUUCUGAUCCACUGGAUGAGAAAUUCCUCCUACUCAUUCUGA